AGUGAACGCUGGCGGUAGGCCUAACACAUGCAAGUCGAACGGCAGCACAGUAAGAGCUUGCUCUUACGGGUGGCGAGUGGCGGACGGGUGAGGAAUACAUCGGAAUCUACUUUUUCGUGGGGGAUAACGUAGGGAAACUUACGCUAAUACCGCAUACGACCUACGGGUGAAAGCAGGGGAUCUUCGGACCUUGCGCGAUUGAAUGAGCCGAUGUCGGAUUAGCUAGUUGGCGGGGUAAAGGCCCACCAAGGCGACGAUCCGUAGCUGGUCUGAGAGGAUGAUCAGCCACACUGGAACUGAGACACGGUCCAGACUCCUACGGGAGGCAGGAUUGGGGAAUAUUGGACAAUGGGCGGAAGCCUGAUCCAGCCAGACCGCGUGGGUGAAGAAGGCCUUCGGGUUGGAAAGCCCUUUUGUUGGGAAAGAAAAGCAGCAGGUUAAUACCCCGCUGUUCUGACGGUACCCAAAGAAUAAGCACCGGCUAACUUCGUG
rnacentral:rRNA from 1 species